GGGCAUUUACAAGUAUGGUAAUGAAUGGACAUAUCAAGAGGAUCAUAAUGCCACUUGCCAAGUGAAGACAAUGAUGGAAAUCCUAGUGAGCCUAACCCCGAGCAACCACCAACCGAGGCAUUUGCUGAGCCUCAAGAACCAUCUUUUGGGCUUGCUCACUUGGAUGCUAGGGAACAGCGCCUCAAUGCAUGCAUUGAUGGUCAUUUUCAGACUAUGAGGGAUUACAUGGCAGCUGAAUUCCAGCAGCAACAAUGGAGGUUGUCCGAAGACCUUGAAUGCAUCAUCUUCAAUGUGCGUGCCAGACAUGGCUCAUCCCAACCACCACCUCCUCAAGAAUAGCCUAGAUAGGAUUUUCUAGAGUGUCUAGGGUGUGGGUUUUUGCUUUGGAGAUUAUCUUUUAAUAUUGG
rnacentral:lncRNA from 1 species